ensembl:lncRNA
CGGAAGUGGAAGGUAAAUCUCUGCUGCUGAAGACGCCAUGCAUUUUUGACACAGGACCCGGAGGAUAUGAGCUAGAUCUGAUCUUAAAGCCUUCUCCUUGAAGAUUAGUCUUCAUGUCGCCAGAAAGCACCAUGCAAAAUUCCCAAGGAGGGACGCAACCAGCUACGAUACUAAUGAGCAAGAACAGCAACCAGCAUGUCAUCGUACCCUUAAGUUCUCCUACAGCAAGACGGGAGAUGACAACCAGAUUAUCUCUGGAAGCUCGAAAGCCUGGCAUACUCAGGGGCAAACAGAACUCAAGUAAGGUAAUAAGACCCGUACCAACCCCCCCAAAUGUCCUUAAGCCAAAAAGGAAGAGCUAUGUGAUGCUGACGUAAGAGAAGACAGAGAUCUGAGGAACCCUCUGCUGCGAACACUCUCCUCCCCUGAGCUGGUAGCCCUGGGCUAAGCUCUGUGACUCAAGACAAGUGGCCACAUUGACAAGCUGAGAUUCUAGAACCCACCCAGGCUCCAACAAGGACUAAGUUAAGUAAUGUUAAAUGAUGCACCUUAUGGCCUUGGAAGAACAAGAACACGCCAAAACCAACAGCAACAGAUUUAAAGAAAUAACAUCUGACAGAAAUUAAUUAAAG